AAUCUCAGCCUCUGGUGGAGGAGGCCCAGUUUCUCUUCUCAUCUUGAGGUGGAGGUUUCUGGACAAGAAAUCCCACUCACCUGGAGGAUCAUGAAAUUGUUCUGUUUUUUGUUCUGCUUGGUGGCAGGUGUCCUAUCUGACCUGCAACUCGAGGAGUCAGGGUCAGGAACUGUGAGACCCUCAGAGACCCUUACACUCACUUGUUCUGUCACUGGUGGUUCUGUUACCAGUAGUUACUACUGGAACUGGAUCCGACAGUCUCCAGGGAAAGGCUUGGUAUGGCUUGGAUACUGGAGUGGAAGUACAAGCUACAACCCUCUUUUCCAAAACCGAAUCUCCAUCACAGCAGACACAUCGAAGAAUCAGUUCUCUUUGCAACUAAAAUCACUCACAACUGAGGACACAGCUGUAUAUUACUGUGCUAGAGGCACAAUGAAGAGAAAGAAGCAAGAGUCCAGACACAAACUUUCUCCUUCAGGGAAACCAGAAGAUCAAGCUGUAUGUGAUGCUUGACUGCUGAGCAGAAGGAGUUGAAUCCCAGGAGAGUAAAGAUGAAGUACUUCUUUUCAAGGUUUAUGGUUUUUCCUUCUCUGCUCAGCAAACUUUUCCCUCAGGGGCCUUCCCUUUUCAUCUCUUGGGAAACGGAAUCUCUACAGAAUUUUGCAUUUUGUUAAGUUUUCUUUGUUUUUUGUUCCUUUUCUUUUGUUUCUUUUUUUCUUUUUUUUUUUUUUUAAUAAAAUCUUUGUCAGGUUCCUGUUUCCUGAGAUCCAGUGGAGCACUUCUAAAUACUCUCAACUUUGGCUGUCUGUAUGAAGUACAGAAAGAAAAGCUAUCUUAGCUUAUUUGUCCAUUCUCAAAUACUUCACUAUUUUAAACAUCCAUAAUUUUGUCAUUAUGACUACUUCACAAACUUCCAAUAUCAAUAAUAUUUAUUUUUAAUUUUAAAAAUAUUUAUUUUCCUGCAUAUCUAUGGAAUAAGUCAGGCAUUUAAAUAACAUAGUAUGAUUAAAAACAUGAUU